GAUGAACGCUGGCGGCGUGCCUAAUACAUGCAAGUCGAGCGAACAGACGAGGAGCUUGCUCCUCUGACGUUAGCGGCGGACGGGUGAGUAACACGUGGAUAACCUACCUAUAAGACUGGGAUAACUUCGGGAAACCGGAGCUACUACCGGAUAAUAUAUUGAACCGCAUGGUUCAAUAGUGAAAGACGGUUUUGCUGUCACUUAUAGAUGGAUCCGCGCCGCAUUAGCUAGUUGGUAAGGUAACGGCUUACCAAGGCGACGAUGCGUAGCCGACCUGAGAGGGUGAUCGGCCACACUGGAACUGAGACACGGUCCAGACUCCUACGGGAGGCAGCAGUAGGGAAUCUUGCGCAAUGGGCGAAAGCCUGACGGAGCAACGCCGCGUGAGUGAUGAAGGUCUUCGGAUCGUAAAACUCUGUUAUUAGGGAAGAACAAAUGUGUAAGUAACUAUGCACGUCUUGACGGUACCUAAACAGAAAGCCACGGCUAACUACGUG
rnacentral:rRNA from 1 species